UUAAAUUGAAGAGUUUGAUCAUGGCUCAGAUUGAACGCUGGCGGCAGGCCUAACACAUGCAAGUCGAACGGUAACAGGAAGCAGCUUGCUGCUUCGCUGACGAGUGGCGGACGGGUGAGUAAUGUCUGGGAAACUGCCUGAUGGAGGGGGAUAACUACUGGAAACGGUAGCUAAUACCGCAUAAUGUCGCAGGACCAAAGAGGGGGACCUUCGGGCCUCUUGCCAUCAGAUGUGCCCAGAUGGGAUUAGCUAGUUGGUGAGGUAACGGCUCACCAAGGCGACGAUCCCUAGCUGGUCUGAGAGGAUGACCAGCCACACUGGAACUGAGACACGGUCCAGACUCCUACGGGAGGCAGCAGUGGGGAAUAUUGCACAAUGGGCGCAAGCCUGAUGCAGCCAUGCCGCGUGUAUGAAGAAGGCCUUCGGGUUGUAAAGUACUUUCAGCGGGGAGGAAGGGGAUAAGGCUAAUAACCUUGUUCAUUGACGUUACCCGCAGAAGAAGCACCGGCUAACUCCGUGCCAGCAGCCGCGGUAAUACGGAGGGUGCAAGCGUUAAUCGGAAUUACUGGGCGUAAAGCGCACGCAGGCGGUCUGUCAAGUCGGAUGUGAAAUCCCCGGGCUCAACCUGGGAACUGCAUUCGAAACUGGCAGGCUUGAGUCUUGUAGAGGGGGGUAGAAUUCCAGGUGUAGCGGUGAAAUGCGUAGAGAUCUGGAGGAAUACCGGUGGCGAAGGCGGCCCCCUGGACAAAGACUGACGCUCAGGUGCGAAAGCGUGGGGAGCAAACAGGAUUAGAUACCCUGGUAGUCCACGCCGUAAACGAUGUCUACUUGGAGGUUGUGCCCUUGAGGCGUGGCUUCCGGAGCUAACGCGUUAAGUAGACCGCCUGGGGAGUACGGCCGCAAGGUUAAAACUCAAAUGAAUUGACGGGGGCCCGCACAAGCGGUGGAGCAUGUGGUUUAAUUCGAUGCAACGCGAAGAACCUUACCUGGUCUUGACAUCCACAGAACUUUCCAGAGAUGGAUUGGUGCCUUCGGGAACUGUGAGACAGGUGCUGCAUGGCUGUCGUCAGCUCGUGUUGUGAAAUGUUGGGUUAAGUCCCGCAACGAGCGCAACCCUUAUCCUUUGUUGCCAGCGGUCCGGCCGGGAACUCAAAGGAGACUGCCAGUGAUAAACUGGAGGAAGGUGGGGAUGACGUCAAGUCAUCAUGGCCCUUACGACCAGGGCUACACACGUGCUACAAUGGCGCAUACAAAGAGAAGCGACCUCGCGAGAGCAAGCGGACCUCAUAAAGUGCGUCGUAGUCCGGACUGGAGUCUGCAACUCGACUCCAUGAAGUCGGAAUCGCUAGUAAUCGUGGAUCAGAAUGCCACGGUGAAUACGUUCCCGGGCCUUGUACACACCGCCCGUCACACCAUGGGAGUGGGUUGCAAAAGAAGUAGGUAGCUUAACCUUCGGGAGGGCGCUUACCACUUUGUGAUUCAUGACUGGGGUGAAGUCGUAACAAGGUAACCGUAGGGGAACCUGCGGUUGGAUCACCUCCUUA
rnacentral:rRNA from 1 species